GACUAUGGUCAUGGGUCACCUUCCCUAAAAGACAGAGGCUGCUCGUCACGUUUAAUGGCAGGAGGCAGAGAAAGGGCAGUGACCCAAGCUCCUGCCAGUCCUGCAUUCAUUUUACACACAUACUAUGAGGAUCAGCUAUGAGUCACCAAGCCUGGUCCUGGAGAUCCAGAGGCCAACAAUGACAGACAAACUGGCUCUCUCUCUUCUUCUCUCUGCUGAUACUGGGGCAGAAAUGACAGGUCCACAUACCCUCUACAGGAGCAUCAGGGUCUCCUCCGUUAUUUCUUGCACUUUGGGCCAAAGACAGAAGAUGGACAAGACCAGUCCCCCAGGACCUGAGUGUGAUGGAUCUUCUGCCAUUUAAGCUGAGUCCAGAAACCCAAAGCUGCCUCUCAGUCACCUGGCUCUCUUGGGUUAUUCCUGAUCGUCCCUCUUUUAGGACCAUCUCUGCCACAUACCCCAAGAACUUGACUCUGGACUGCUCCUCGCAGAUUUGCCUCUGUUCUCUGGUUUCCCCGGCAGCUGAGGUUCUGACCCAUACUAAUUUCUGAUGGCACUGAAGGUGCAAGAGAAGAAAUAGAGGACUGGACAAUAGAGACCCUGAAACCAGCACUGUGGCGAAGAUGAAGAAAAGAAUGAGAACGUUCAGUGACCUCCAGGCCUAGAGGCUAGGGGCUGGGUUGGAAAAUUGGCCCCUCGGACAAUUCCUCCUACCUAUUCCACCGGAGAAUUUUAAAGAUUCAUGUAAAUAGAAAGGUACCGAUGUCAGAGGAACUUGUUUUCAAAGUGAUUCAUCAUUUCUCAGUCAGACUUGGCUGUUUCAGUGUUACAGGGCACUGUGGAUGUGUGUAUGUACAUGUGGACUAAUUGUCUAUAAACAGAAACAGCCUUCGGGGAAAUUUCUUUUUAUUUUAAGCAGAAAGAGACAUCUAGAUUCCUAUGGGUAAUCAUAACUGCCUGAAACAGAAUCUUUCCACAUAUUUCCAGAAACUAUACAGAUUAACAAGAGCAAAUUAAACCACAUAACCCAGUCUGAAUGGAGAUAAAGAUACAAUUCUAGAGAACUUAAAAGGUGCUCAAUGUUUAAUGAAUGAAUGAAUGAAUAUAUGAAUGAAUGGCACGGCCACACAGGAGAUGAAGCUACUAAGGAUAAUUUACUUGAUAGAUGACAGACCUACAUGCCAAACAAUUCUGACUUGCUGGCCUUAUGGCCAAAAUCAAUAGGAAAAAAUAUAAUUAGUAUCCAAAUUAAGGCCCUAAAUUUAGGGUCAGGUAAUUUAACAUGGCAACAGAAGGGGGGGAAACAAGACUAAACCAUAUCGAAAGACAACAGUUUUCAAAGAUUUUAGUCUUAAAUUCUUUUACUUCCUCUUUUUUUUGUUUUUGUUUUGUUGUUGUUUUGUAGCCCAGGCUGGCCUUGAAUUUAUAAUCUUCCUGCCUCAGCCUCCCUAGUCACUGGGGGAAAAGCUCAAUUUUCGUCAUUGCUAACAGGUUUUGGCAGUUGUUUUACUUAAAAUGACGGGCUCAUCUCAUUUUUGAGCAUAUGUCUGCCACAUAACUAGGUCUGAAUAACCAGGCUGUCAAUUACUGUCUCAACAAAAACAGUGCUCUGUGAGCAAAGAGCUAAUUUAGCUAAGGGCUCAACUAGUCAUGUGUGCCAGCCAGUGAUUUUCCUCUAGAUGACUCUCACGUUUAUGCAGCAGCAGUGCUUUCUGCUAACAAGGCUCCAACCUUGUAUUGAGCCAAAAUUUCUCUUUCGGUUGUAAAAGGUGUUUGUUUUGUUUGCUCUGGGUGUUCAUGCCAAUCCUCAACUCCUAGGGAAACCAAAUGGACAGGGAGAUGGGUUUGUUUCAGGAGACUGGGAGGAAGUCUUGAGUUUCAGCUCCUUGUAACCUUUGCUUUGGGACAAAUCCUCUCUGUGUCAAGAGGAGCUUCCUUGGGAAGGUCUGUGAGUGAAAGCAGGGCCAGCGCAUUGAGCAGGGAGGGUGGGUGCUCCCUUCGCUAAAGUGAUAAGAAGACACAACCGAGAAGACAUUCCUACCUCCCAGCCUCCCUUAUCACUAGAAAGCAGUAAAAAAAAAAACAUAAGACAACAGAAGAGAGACAUCACUUCAUCUGCUAUUAGUCCUCUUCAGCAAAUGCUCGAGCUCACCCCUCAGGCAGCAGGCCCACAGCAGGCCCAAAGGACUCUGCAGCGACCAGUGCAGGGCUCCUGACCUCCAGGGGCUCACUGUCUGCUCGGGGAGACGAUUAUCUAAAGACACCGUUGCUGGGGAAGAUCCAGAUUCCUCAGCAAGUCCUGCAAGGAUCUGCAGGAUCUGAUCCUCAUGGCCUGCUCCAGCCUCCGUCCCUAUUUCUCCUCCCAAUGUGGUGACUCGGUCACACAGAGCAGCAAACACCAUGCAGGUCCCUCAACAAGUGUUCCUCCGCCCGGAGCCCCACCCAUGACCACCUGUAGCCACUUCUCUGGCAGUGGUUCACAUCCGUGGCAGAUCCCAGCUGGAAGAAGGGGAAGGCUGCAGCUUCAUUCGGUUCAGAAAUGUAAUUUUCAGCUGGGAUUGGACAUUUCACUUCAUGAAUUGAGAAUGUUUUAUGACGUAAAAGUAACCAUGGCUUUGAGUUUGACCUCAGAUUGGCCAGAAAGUGUUGAGCUUUGUCUCAGUUUACAUCCAGGGACAGGGAGAACUAAAACCACCUGAAAUAUAUAUAAAGAAUGGGAGAAAAACUAUUCGGUAUUUACACAUGUGUGUCCUAUUUAUUUCACUUAAGAG